ACUCAGGGUCCCGACCCCGGUGGGUUGCACACCUGAGCUAUCUCCAUCCUCGGAGACCGACGAGCUCUCCGUGUCCUCGUCCUCUGAGCUGCUCCCCUCAUUUUCGGCGUAGUCCACCUCCAUCUCAUCGUGAUGAUCCUGCCUCUGAAGGGAGACAGACUUAAUUCCAAUUGUCACCACAUGGUGGAGCCGAGACGUCAGUGUACAAUCCACAAACCUUGUCCCUGCUGAGUGACCCUGGCCAGAUGCUGGUGGCUGGAAAAACAAAGGCAGAACACCACAGGCUGCAACUAAUAGCUUCAAAUCAGGGUCCCUGGCAACCAUUGAUUUUUACUGUUGCCAUAAUGCUACCUUUUCCAGAAUGUCAUAUAAUGACAAUCAUACG